AUUGAACGCUGGCGGCAUGCUUUACACAUGCAAGUCGAACGGUAACAGGCCGCCAGGUGCUGACGAGUGGCGAACGGGUGAGUAAUGCAUCGGAACGUGCCCAGUCGUGGGGGAUAACUACUCGAAAGAGUAGCUAAUACCGCAUACGAUCUAUGGAUGAAAGCGGGGGACCGUAAGGCCUCGCGCGAUUGGAGCGGCCGAUGUCAGAUUAGGUAGUUGGUGGGGUAAAGGCUCACCAAGCCAACGAUCUGUAGCUGGUCUGAGAGGACGACCAGCCACACUGGGACUGAGACACGGCCCAGACUCCUACGGGAGGCAGCAGUGGGGAAUUUUGGACAAUGGGCGCAAGCCUGAUCCAGCAAUGCCGCGUGCAGGAAGAAGGCCUUCGGGUUGUAAACUGCUUUUGUACGGAACGAAACGGCCCUGGUUAAUACCCGGGGCUAAUGACGGUACCGUAAGAAUAAGCACCGGCUAACUACGUG
rnacentral:rRNA from 1 species